rnacentral:rRNA from 1 species
UUGGAGGGCAAGUCUGGUGCCAGCAGCCGCGGUAAUUCCAGCUCCAAUAGCGUAUAUUAAAGUUGUUGCAGUUAAAAAGCUCGUAGUUGAAUUUCGGGAUUGACGUGAUGGUCAUGCCUUAAGGGGUAUGAACUGUUACUGUUGAUUUCUCACCUUCUGGAGAAACUUGAUGUCCUUUAUUGGGUGUCUUGCGGAUCCAGGACCUUUACCUUGAAAAAAUUAGGGUGUUUAAAGCAGGCAUUUUUUGCUCGAAUACAUUAGCAUGGAAUAAUAGAAUAGGACGGCAUGGUUCUAUUUUGUUGGUUUCUAGGAUCACCGUAAUGAUUAAUAGGGAUAGUUGGGGGCAUUAGUAUUCAAUUGUCAGGGGUGAAAUUCUUGGAUUUAUUGAAGACUAACUACUGCGAAAGCAUUUGCCAAGGAUGUUUUCAUUAAUCAAGAACGAAAGUUAGGGGAUCGAAGACGAUCAGAUACCGUCGUAGUCUUAACCAUAAACUAUGCCGACUAGGAAUCAGACGAUGUUAAUUUUUUAAUGACUCGUUUGGCACCUUACGGGAAACCAAAGUGUUUGGGUUC